rnacentral:rRNA from 1 species
CCUGCGCGGAAGAUGUAACGGGGCUAAACCAUGCACCGAAGCUGCGGCAGCGACACUAUGUGUUGUUGGGUAGGGGAGCGUUCUGUAAGCCUGUGAAGGUGUGCUGUGAGGUAUGCUGGAGGUAUCAGAAGUGCGAAUGCUGACAUAAGUAACGAUAAAGCGGGUGAAAAGCCCGCUCGCCGGAAGACCAAGGGUUCCUGUCCAACGUUAAUCGGGGCAGGGUGAGUCGACCCCUAAGGCGAGGCCGAAAGGCGUAGUCGAUGGGAAACAGGUUAAUAUUCCUGUACUUGGUGUUACUGCGAAGGGGGGACGGAGAAGGCUAUGUUGGCCGGGCGACGGUUGUCCCGGUUUAAGCGUGUAGGCUGGUUUUCCAGGCAAAUCCGGAAAAUCAAGGCUGAGGCGUGAUGACGAGGCACUACGGUGCUGAAGCAACAAAUGC